UUUCAGUCCUCCAGACCUUCAGACCACCUGGUCCACCAUCCUUAGGAGACUAGAUGAGAGACACCUGGGCUAGGGUAGGCUGAAGGCAGAGGUCAGGGUGGGAUCUUGAAGGGUGCUGUAUUAGUCUGCUCUCACACUGCUAAUAAAGACAUACAUGAGACUGGGUAAUUUAUAAAGAAAAAGGUUUUAUGGACUUACAAUUCUGCAUGGCUAAGAAGGCCUCACAAUCAUGGCAGAAGGCAAAGGAGGAGCAAAGACACAUCUUACGUAGUGGCAGGCAAGAGAGCUUGUGUAGGGGAACUGCCCUUUAUAAAACCAUCAGAUCUCGUGAGACUUAUUCGCUAUCACGAGAACAGCAUGGGAAAAAGCCGCCCCCAUGAUUCAAUGACCUCCAACUAGGUCCCUCCCAUGACACGUGGGGAUUAUAGGAGCUACAAUCAAGAUGAGAUUUGUGGGGGGACAUAGCCAAACCAUGUCUGAUGCCUUUGGGGUGUUAAAUAAGAGGACCAAACCUUGCUGAUAAGAUAGGGUACACAGAAAAGCACACGGAGGGAACCGGAGCUCAGAAUCCAGAGGCUGGCAGGCACCAGGGAGCUUUGUGGGAGCCAAGCUAUAGCCUGCAACUCAUCUGUUUCAAUUGCAUUAGCAACACAUAACACCAUCACCUGGGAGGAACCACAUAGCUGCUCUUCCCAUUGCUAUCUGAUGAGCUUUUGCCACCACCUAUCUUACCAUUUUUGUUGGAUUUUCCAGCUGAAAAGAUUCCUGCUCAUGCUCUUAAAAUUUUGCAGCUCUGAUCCUCACUACCCAAUUGGACACACUGCUUUUUAAUGACUCAGGACACUUGUAAAUCCCCUGAAACAGCAUGGGUGAGAAGGUGGUGCUCUUGAUACCCAAUGGCACCAGGAGAUAUAGAUGAGAAAUUCUCCAGCAGUAGCACCUGGAUUGAGUUGGAUAAUGAUGAGACUCACCUCAGAUAAAGAGAUUUUAUUUGAGAAAAUAUUUUUGAUCUUAAAAGUGUUUGGGAAGAUUCUGGUUUCAGCUUCAACAUGUAAAGAGCUUAGAAGUUGUCACUCCCAUCCUCACAAUGAGAAAAAAGAUGAAAAAACUGAAAAGGAAUCAUUUUUCUUAGACCCAUCAGAGAUCUGAGAUUACAGAGGAAACCACCACCCUGAAAUCUGGCGGGUUCUUAGGAAGCCCAAAGACAAUAGAAAACCCAAAACAAGGACAAGAGAGACGAAUUUGAAGCCUGUGGCACCCACAGAUACAGCAAACAUUAAACGCAGUCCAACAUGUAGCCAGGUUAACAUACAUCCUCACAUUAGAGGCCUAUUUACCUUUGUUCCUAUUACCUGAUACAACAUAUUCAGCUUUCUACAAAAAAUUGCAAGGCAUUCUAAAAGUCAAGGGGAAACAGUCUGAAGAGUCAAGCUGAGCAUCAAAACCAGACUCAGCCACAUGGAUUUUGGAAUUAUCAGCCACAUGAUCAAGGCCAACGUCAACACUGAUGUUGAGACAGAGUUCCCUGGACCCCUUCGUGGGACUUGUGACAGGGGUGGGGCUUGCUUACUCGGCCACUGUGCUCAAAUUCCUUGCAGGAGCGGGAGCAAGUAGGUGGUGGGUGCCGGGGCCGGGGCAAGUAACUUUUGGCCUCUGGCCCCAUGGUAGCACCUAGGGGUGUGUUGCAAUUAAUGCUCUUUUAGCAGUUGCUGUCCACAGAUGGCUAAGUAUUAACCAGCUCAGUGGAGAGUCGGGGUGACAGCCUUUUACACUCUGCCCUCUUGGUACCAGUUCCUUGUCUGGUGUCCAGGAAGAAUCAGGUCACAAAGACUUGAAGGAUGGUGAAUGUGGAGGUUUUUUUGAGUGAUGGAGGUGGCUCUCAGCUGAACGGGGCACUGGAAAAGGGAUGGAGUGGGAAGAUAAUCUUCCCCUGGAUUUAGGCCAUCCCUGGCUGAACUCCUUUCUGACCAUUUAGCUGUCUCUUCAAUGUUCAGGCACUUAUUUUCUCUCCUUUUCUACUGUGCCACUCUGCUCCUCUGCCAGUGGAGUUUAGGUUUUUUUAUGGGUACAGGAUGGGGGCGUGGUGGGCCAGGGUGGUUUUGGAAAAAGCAACAUUUGGGCAGGAAAACAUGGGUGUGAAGUUCUCUUUAGGAUGGCAGGCCGAGGCUCGUGCGUGGGGCCUUUGCUGAGGAACCGUCUUCUCCUAUCCAGUAUUUCCCUGCUUCCUGUCCAUAUCAAUAGUAGGUACCCUUGAUAUGAUGUGAUGAAAAUGAUACUUUACCUCUGUGGUUUUCAUCCCAAGAACAGAUCGCUCCAGUCUAAUUUGAGGAAAACAUCAUCUAUAACCAUACUAAGGAACAUCUUCCACAAUACCUGCCCAGUACUCUUCAAAACUGUCAAAGUCACCAAAAACAAGAAAAGUCUAAGAAUCUCUAUCAAGAGGAACCGAAGGAGAUGUGACUAUUAAAUUAAUGUGACAUCCUAGAUGGAAUCCUGGAACAGAAAAAAUACAUUAGGAAUGAAGUGUCAUAGCUGGUGAAGUUGCCCAGAUUGCAUUCUGAUGAUGUGUGGGGCUCAGAAAGCUGGAAAUGAAGAGCAGGGUGGAAUGACUUCGUCUGCCCAGCGUCUCUUCCUCACAAGCCUGUUGCCCGCCGCUGUGGCCAUUUUUCCAACCAUGAGCUUCAGCUGAGAAUCUUCCAUCCUCAGAUGAAGAAACUCAUAUCAUGGAAAAGCAAGGAUGAAAUUCUCUGACCACCCUACAUUUAAAGGACCUUUAAAGAGAAAGAACUGACAGUGUAAGUGGAAAAAGAGCAAUUGGAAGUAGCAGGAUAAGGAAAAACCAUUAUCAUACAACUGGUGGGAAGAAGGAAUGUCAAAAACAUCAGUGUGAAAAUAAUUGCAGCAAAAAG